GAUGUGGUGGCCGAGUGGUUAAGGCGUGAGGUGCAGGUCUCCUCAUGAGCUCUGCUCUCGCAGGUUCGAAUCCUGUCCACGUCG